CCCGCCCCCGGUCUGCGAAGCCAGACCCAGGUCCCCUGACGGUUGCCUUGCAUGGAUUCCUCUGAAAAAACAGAUAUUUCCAGUCCCAACUUCUCUCUCAAUGCCAGUCUGACAUUUCCAAUCAAUUGUGAAAUGCCCACCUGCGUGAUUUCAGAUGUGUCAAACCGGGCAUUUCUGAAAAUCAAAAACUCAUCUUCUCCCUGUAAGUAGACCUAGCCUCACACUGCCAUGCCAGAGGGCAGCCCACGCCCUGACUCCCCUGCAGACUGCAGAAAAAGGACUUGCUAAGUCCCAAGAACACAGGGCAGAGAAGACAAAGCCUGAUCCAAGGCAGAGGGUUGCAAUUAGCCCCACAAAGUGCAUUAGGAACAUCAAGGGGGGGGGGCAGUGGAGACAAGCCCUCUGGCGUCUGACAGAGGAGAAAGUUGAUAAGGGAGGUGCAUCUGGACACUUACUACUAUAACUUCUGCUAACAGUGUGGCGACUCCCUCAGGUAACACAUGUCGUGGUAAGCCUAUGGACUUGUGACCAUGUGCUGAGCACUAUUCGAAGCGCUUAACUACAUAUGAACUCACUUAAUUCCUACAACCCCACAAGGUGGGUGGGUAAACCAAGGCACGGGAAGCUGCUCACUAGCCUGUGGUCAAACAGUUAACAGUGGCAGAGUUGGGUCUGAACCCAGGUGGCCUGGCCCAACAUUUUUGUUCUUGACCAUUAGCUGUUCUGCUUCUCUGUCACCUUCUCAGAUCCUUUCAACAAGUCCUAUUGUUGUUACAGAAACUUCCUAUGUUCUGAAGUUGAAAAUAAUUUUGAAUCACGAUUCUCUCAGCUAUUAACUAUAAUGCCCUUUUUUGUGUUAUCAGGAGGUUAGAUAAAUAUGCCUCCUAUGUCUCCGUGGCACUUGCACAGAAAGCCUCUGGGAUAAUCAGGACUCUGUGCCCACAGUCACCUGCUGAACUGCUGGACAGCCCCGCAGAGCUCUGCUGGUGCCCUUCCUCUCCCUCGGGCGCCCGUGAGUUCCCUCAGCCUCUCCCAUCGCCCUCACGCUUACGUGGCCGGAUCCUCCUUGAAAAUCCAAUAUUUAGAGUCCAAGGCCUCAAGUCCCCACCCCAGCUCUGCCCUGUACAAGCUGCAUGUGCUGUGGUGGGUGAGUCAGCUCCACGGAGCCCUGGCCCCUCCUUGCCAAGUGGAGAAAUCAUGUCCACCCCCAAAGGAUUGUUUUUGGUGAUUAGUUAAGGUACGUGCACAAAAGCAUAAGUCAUAAAGUAAGAGAUGUUAAUAUGAGGGCUAACUUUAACAUAAUUUUAUAUGAAAACUUUAUUGGGUCAGCACAAGGUAAUGUACUUCAUUGCCACGAAGUAUAUUAAAUGUUAGAUAUCUUUUUUUUUAAUGUUUAUUUUUUGAGAGAGACAGAGGGUGAGCAAGGGAGGGACAGAGGGAGAGGGAGACAUAGAAUCCGAAGCAGGCUCCAGGCUCUGAGCUGUCAGCACAGAGCCCGACACGGGGUUUGAACUCACAAGCUGUGAGAUCAUGACCUGAGCUGAAGUCGGACACUUAACUGACUGAGCCACCUAGGCGUCCCACUUUUUCUUUUUUUAAUGUUUACUUAUUUUUAGGAGAGAGAGAGAGACAGAGAGAGAGAGGGAGUGGGGGAAGGGCAGAGAGAGAGGGAGAUGCAGAAUCCAAAGAAGGCUCCAGGCUCUGAGCUGUCAGCACAGAACUUGACACAGGGCUUGAACCCAUGUACCCUGAAAUCAUGACCCAAUCCGAAGUCGGACACUUAAUUGAUUGAACCAGCCAAGUAUAUUAAAUGCCAGAUUUCUUACCAGAGAUUCUUGGCUCCCACACGUGGCAAUGAAAGCAUCCCUCCAAGCGCGUCGUCAUGCACAAUCUGAGUUCUUUGCUAGCUUUGUAAGGGACAAGAACCAGCACAUGAACAGAAGAGACGUAUGGAACACCCUCCGGUCAUGGUGCGUCUAUGGGUGUGACGUUGGGGGAGGGGCUGUGGGAAAACGAGGCCACUCGCAGGAGCUGCGCAGCCGGGAGGCGUGUCUGAAUGCCCAAGCCCCGCGGUCCGGAGCCACACAGCCGGGAGGAGGUGCCCAGCAUCACACACCACCUGCGUGGUGAUGAGAAUCAUCGUCCUUCCCUUUGCACCUGCCCUUUGCCUGGCUCAGUGUGGCUUCCUGGGGACAGGUGUGUGUCCCGAAGCACUAAGAGGGUGCUGGUGUCUGGGGGCCCUUUUAGAGGAGAGUCGGAAAGGCCACCUGCAGUGAAGGCAGGUCACCAAUUCUUGAGCUGAUUUCCACCGUGUUUGAAGAUGUCUGGUGACUCGGGCUCCUCAGAGGGUGAGCCUCGUGGCGGAAGUAAGCCUUGGCUGUGGCGAAGGACCCUCAAGGGUGCCCUGCGGUGCUUUCUGGCAACUUCAGCCAGUUGGGGUCCGUCACGGCAACAGGCUGUCUUCCAUGCCUGUUGUGCGGAAUUGGUCUUCUCUGUUGUACUUUCUUGUUGCUGUGAUUCUCACAGAUGAAAAGUACGUUUUGCAGCAGAAUCUGUGCCUGGGGAAUGUGAUCAAACUUCUUGCCUAAAAGGAGCCUUUGUGUGGGUGUUCGUACUUCGCCUUGCGUAGCUGUGCGGUAUCAGUGUUAGGACCCUGCCUGUCCGUGAACACUUCUGAUCCACUGUCCACAGGCCGGUGGCUUGGCGCAAGCCUGCUGUGCGGUCACCUUUCGCUCACUGAGUCACCAUCACGGGACCUUGACCACGUACCUGCCCCUCCCGUGCACCUCGUGCAGUGCUUGGUGAUGGGGCUGCCGUUUGCUGUUCCGGACGGCCGGCCACACCUUCACACAGCGGGACGUGUCCGCCCUGUGGUGCGGAGCCGCCUCCUCCCUCCCGCGCUCCAACCUCACCACCCACAGUAGAGUUCCUUCUUUCAAGGAACGGUCGGUUAGGUUCGUCUUUCGGAGUCUGGGGCUGUUACCGCACUGGUGGCCGGCAGAGGCCUGGCUUAACCCGACGGCCCAAGGACUCUCUGCGGCAACUCACUACUCAUCCUCAUCCGGAGAACAUCUGGUUCCGUGCUACAACUUCCCAGCUAGAAGUCACUGGUUCACACGUUUCAGAUACGAAAUGUAAAAACCAAGACCCUUAUUAGGAUGCGCUACGGCACAGCGAUUGUGGCCCAUUGUGUCGGAGUCUCGAAAACGGCCACAGGGUAUGUCUGGGGAUACCCAGGAGCCCCCAUCCUGUGUGGGAGCGGCAUUCCCAAACUUUUGGGGAACGCGGCCUGAGAAGGCUCGUAAAGCUGCAGACCGUGCGUGAAUGCGGGGAGAGUCAGAAUGCUUUCUCGGCCUUUCUGAUGGAGGCCGAGGGAGCCAGAAGGGAGCACAGAUUCAAGAUGUGGCUGCCACAACCCGGUGUUAGAAACACAUUUGCCCACAGUGUCAACCCCACACGUCACCAGCACCGCUUUGUAGUGAGGUAUGCAUUGGCAUCUGCCGUCUUGGUUUUGGCCACAAUUCGCCUCCCUGUGGAAGUGAUGUGCUGUAAGAGAAUCCGAAAAACCAAAACGCGGAGCCCCACCAGACUCCAGGCAGUGGACCAGAUCUGGAUGACGAGUGGAAAUACUUUGUGAUGCCCCAGUGUGAAUAAUAGGACACGAAUCACAGAGGGUUGUGUCUUUCCACCUGCACGCAUCUGCUGCUUGCCUGAGGCAACGGGAGAUCAUGUGUUGCUUGUGACCACCCAGUGGUUCAGAUCCAGCCCCUACGACCUCUGGGGGGCUCUCCACGCUGGUGUGAGAAUGACAGCACCUGUAAGUAGGGUGUGAGCUGAUGGAAAGCAGUGUGCUGUGACCACAGCCCAGGACACACGUUACAGGUGACCAGAGGCAAUUGUUCGAAUUUCUCAGCAAGGCCCCUGGUGCAGCCAGCCGGUCCAGCUAACGUCACCCUCCUGAGACCCAGGUCUCGAGGGUUGUUCCCACCCCGUGCUCCCCAGUGGAGCCCGAAGGCCAGCCUGCGGCCGGCGCCCCUGACCCCUUGCAGUCAGGAACCUCCUUCUGAGCACCAGGGCGUCGGCUCUUCUGGCCUUGACCUGUGAGGCUCUCCUACCACCAGGCUACGCAGCCUCCUCGCGACAACAGAAUCACUGUGGAUGACGUCCACUCACCCACAACUGAAACUCGCGCUACCAGGAAGAGCCGCGGGGCUUGAUGGCUGGCCAGUAGACUGCAUAAAUACAAGACUCCACGUGGCUCGGCUUCACGCCAAAUGUCAGAAAGGGAAGGCCAGUGUGCCCCCCAACUCUUGGGCUUGGGGAGCGUGCACGGAGUGAGACCAAGAGGGCAAUGAGUGAAGGCAGUGUGGAACAGGAUGGUCUUUCCCGUCUGUGUGACUCCUGCCGAGACCCACACGGCGGAUGGCGAGUCCCCGAGGGUGGAGCGCCUGGGAGCCACCUCUCAGCCGGAUGCGGGGCUGGUGUCCCUUCCACCCUCCAGAGGAGAGCCAGACGGCCACAUUCAUUCCUCUUGCUACACUCUUGCUCAAGGUCAGCACGAGGGGCCGCGAAUGCCGCUCACUUGUGUGGGGAGGUGGGCGCCCUUGGCCGCCGGGUGGGUGGAAACUCUCCUCGGAUCGGCUGUGGCCACGGCCACGCUAGGAUCCCACCCUCGCCCACACUUUUGACGGGGCGACUUUUGAUUGCUGCAACGCUUUGUGGUAAACAUCAGGGUUGUCAUCAGGAAGCGUGCCACGUUAUGCUUAUGACUUUAAACAACCCAGUUUUCAAAUCUACUUUGGAAUCUGAGUGAACGUGAACUAGUCCACGUCUCCGAGGUGACCUGGUGCCAAACACUUCUCCGGGUUGGAGACACUUCCCAAGCUUCCCUGUGGGCCUGUUCUUUGGACUCUUGUCAGCAGCUCCCCCAACUCUGCUAAUGAGGUUUCUGAUAUCGUUGGACUGUUCCAGAACAUUCCAUCUGAGAAACGCUGGCAAGCCUCCUGGCACCGAGAAAGAUGCUGCUUGUGAGUGACUGUCAGCCUCGGCUCUGCAUCUGGAGAACCUGGUUAUCUUGGGGUCUGUCCCCCUAAAAACCCUCCAGACUCUUUUCUGCAGCCACCUUGAAUCUCAUUCCACCCAGUGCUCACUGCACAGAAAUCAGACUCUGAACUUGCCAGGCUCCUGAGUCUGGGUGGAGUCUGGAGAUGGGUCGGGUCUGGGUUUCCCAUUCCGCAGAGCCCGCCGGACUCGCCUCGCCCAGGCAGUGCUGCGCCCCGAAGCCUCUUCCAGGCCUGGCGCCCUCCCCCAGCUCCCCCAUCCUAUGGCAGGUGCUGCCCGGCAGAGUUGUGGCUGCCGGGGACCGAGCAGGGGGACACGGAGCCGGCACCCAGGCGGCCGCUCCCGGAAGCUGGCAGAAGCAUGCUGCUGCCCGUGUAGACGCCUCCUGGCAUGGAAGGGCUGGACCAGCGCCGGAGAUGAGAGUUCACGCCUCUGUGCGGGUGCUUAACCUUUCCUGCCUGUUGACUUAGGAGCAAAGCCAGUCAGGAAAUAGGCCCGAGAGCCAGAGGGCACCCAGCCCACGUCAACUCAGUACCAACCGAGCACCCAUUGUGCUCACCCCUGACAUCCUGCACUGCGCAAAUGUCCCCAGCAGCAGGGGAUUUGGGCCACAGAGUGAAAACCCACAGCGGUGUGAGUCUGUGUUCUCCACGUCUCAUACCUGCCAAUACCUAUAUUUUCAGAAUAGAUUUUUGAAGGGCAAACAACCGUGUAUCACAGAGUAAGAUGUACACCCCAACCCAAGGAUCUUAGAGCAAACACGGUGAGUGAAAUAAGGAAGUUACAGGCAGGGCACGAAGGGCGGUCUCCAGAAGAGGGGGUUCAGGCAGGGUGGGACCUGGGCGAGGGGUCCCAGACACCUCUCCGCACGGUUCCUGGCAGCGGCUGGGCUGUGACGAUGGUGCUCUCACUGGCUGGUCUCACACGGCUGUGUUUUAAUUCUGAUGUCCAGGCCACCGCCCACCAAAACUGGAGCAGAGUUGGUUAUAUAUAUAUAUAUAUAUUUUUUUUUUUGGUUUAUUUUGAGACAGAGAGAAAGGGUGCACACAAGUUGGGGAGGGGCAGAGAGAGAGAGAGAGAGAGAGAGAGUAUUCCAAGCAGGCUCCACGCUGUCAGCACAGAGCCCGACGUGGGGACUGAAACACAAACUGUGAGAUCAUGAGCUGAGCAAAAAUCAAGAUUCCGACACUCAACCGACUGAGCCCCCCAGGCGCUCCCCCCUUUUACUUUCUAGAGAAGCAGUUACCAGAUCACUCAGAAUUUGAUGUGGCUUGCAUUAUAUCCCUGCGGGACAGCAUGGGCCCAGAUCCUCCAGGCCAGGACUCCUAGGGACGUCUGGUUGACUUCUGUCUCCCUCCUGGCCCCACCCCUGCCUAGGCUCCUCCUGGUCCAGGAGCACUGGUGAGUGUCCUGCCCUGGCCUGCCCAGGCGCUGUCCGCCUGCCCUCCUUGCACUGAUUGCACACAGUACUUUGGUGGUUUGGGCGCCAUCUGCCUGGUACCCACUGGCUCCUUGAAGGACAGACAGUAGCUGAUUCACAGGUCCAACUCUGUGUUUGUGUCAAUCAACCAACCUUCACCGCCGGGAGGAGGGAGGUAACAGGGACCUGACUGUGAAGACUGGGCACCUGAGUAACUUGCUUUUUCCGACAGUCCUCAUUUAUAUCAGUGCUCACAGUUGUGACAGCUGGGCAAUCAUUGGAUGUAAAUGGGCAGGUCCUCACUAGAUUCUUUCCAAGGGCUCCCCUCUGGGUACCAUGCCUGCAAGGUUGCAGGUGCCAGCACUCAGCCUGCGGCCCCAGUGCCUGGUGAGCAUCCGGGGCAGACACUCGGGCCUCGCUGGCUGUGGUGCGCUGGGAAGCUAAGUGUGCUUGCUGGGGACGGUGGGGGGCAGGGGUCGGACACAGACGAGGUCCUAGUAGCUCUGCUAUGUGUCAGGGGCGGGGCUGUGGGGACGGAGGGCCAUCUGCCAUCUUGUAACCCUGCGACCACCCCGCACACCUGACUGUAGGUCACUCAGACCCCUGUUCCUUCUCUCCCCUUGCCCACCUGGGACUGUCAAAGCACCUGCGCCCAUGUGCACCGUGCACAUGACAUUGGAGUUUGUUCUUGGUCUGUCUGUGCAUCUGUUCAUCUGAGGUUCUGACUCCGAGGCCAGGAGGCCAGGAGGCCAGGAGCUGGGGCUGGAACGAGACACCGCUCCCCACCCCACCCCUCCCCCUCGGCAGCUGCAGAGCCUUGGUGAAUUGUUUGCUUCACUGAACCUCAAUGUUCUCUUCGAGAAACUGGAGAUAAUGAAAGCACGUACUGAGGCAGGAAGAAAACUGUCCCCAAAGAGGUCCAUGUCCUAGUCCUCAGAGCCCGUGAGUGCUACCUUCUGUCACGGAAAGGGAUAUGAUUAUGGGCAUGGAGCCUUGAGAUGGGGAGAGUGCUCUCGAUCAUCUGGUCCCCUUCUAAGUAUGCCCGUUCUUAAAAGUGGGGACUCUUUCCCCACUGUGUCACAGAGACAUGUGGCCACAGAGGCAGGGUCUGAGAAAUGACACGCCGCUAUCUUAGAAGAUGGAGGAAGGGACGUGAGCCAAGGAAUGUGGAAGCUUCUAGAAGCUAGAGAAGUCAAGGAACAAAUCCCCCAAGUCAGCUUAUAAAUCCGGGGCAAUGUCCGUGCUUUGUAUUUUAGUAUACCUCACAGUAGCUAGAAUGGUGCUGGGGCCAUAAAAUAAUAAAAUUUAGAGAUUUAGAACUGGAAAGGAUCUCUCCGAUGAUUUUGUUCUACCACGAUAAGCAAUGUGUUGAUCACAGAUGGAUGGCUGGUGGAGAGAUAGAUGGGUAAGUAGAUGGGUGCUUGCGUAGAUAGAUGGAUGGGUGCGUGGGUGGAUGAGUGGAUGGACGAAAUUGCUAGCAGCCUAAAGUGAGGUUUUGAGAUAUUUGUGGGAUUUCUAAAUAAUUUCAAUCCUUUCAUCAGAGUUCAACCUGUCUCUUUUCCUCUCUUUGUAAGCCAUACAUAAUAGAAAAGUUGACUGAGUUAACUCUAACCUGAGUUAAAUAUUGAUCCUUGCGAACUCCGUGUUGAAUAAGACCAAAACAUCUAUGAUCAUUUACAUGUAACACUCAGAUAUCAUGUAUCCUUCAGGUUCAUUAAAUGCAUCAGAAUGCACUAGAUCCCAAAAGGGGAGGUGAAGAGUGAGGAGGUUUCCAGGUUUCUGGAGACGCACAGAUUCACCUAUAAUUCAUCUGUCACAUGGAACAUUGGCGACAGAAGGGAGAGGUUGAGAAACUUUGGGUAGUUCAGGAUUUAUUCAUAGGCUUGGCACACUAGAAGACAUGAUGAUCAAAAAUAUGGCCCUUAAAAUACAAAUGCCAUGGGUUCUCAAAAUAGUGGAAAUGGAAUCAUUAAUAUUGAAGCACAAGAGAACCAAACAAACCGAUUCUCCUAAUUUCUGUUACUUCUGUGAGUUGUUACUACUCCUCUGGCCUUGCCCCCAUUCCUAAAUUGGAUCUUUCAUGACCUCAGAUCAAGUCUGUCACUGUGAACACUACUGUCUUCAGAAAGCAGUCCAGGCUGCGGACCUCCCACAAGGCAGUCACCAAGGACAGGGGCCUCCUUGUAGCCCUGCUACACACUUGUCGCUGGCACAGCCCUCUCCCAACAGAUGUUGGUCGAGUUCAUGAACUAAUCAGUUACAUAUUGUUAUUUAGCCAGUUUCCAUCUUUGCAUUGGGACAGACCUCAAGCCCAGAGAUGGUAUGAGACUUGACACAGCUAGUUAAUGGCAAACCACAGCUGGAAUCCAUGUCUGUCCAUAACUAUGCCAACACUUUUCCACCUUAAGAUACUCCAGAGAGGGGGCUCGUCCUCUCCUGUGGAAUGAGGCCAGGGCCCCGUGGGGUCUCAUUGGACCAUAAGGCUUCCUGUUCCCAAGUAUUGGAGGAGUCUCUGGUUUAUUAAAAUCAUCGGAGUCAUUCAAGUUCCUGUUCCAUUUAUAGCCCAGCCAUCAGAUGAGCUGUGGUGGCCCUAUUUCUGUCCCAGGCUCUUGGUGUCAGGGCUGGCUCCUUUGGGGUCAUGGAACAGGAUUUCCAUUCCGGACUUGCACCACAUAGCCCCAAGGAUGGAUGGCAGGUGGCUCAGAGCUAAAGUUUCCAACUGAGACGCAUCCAUUCAACACGUGUUUAUUUCAUACUAACAUGUUGGGCACUGCUGUAGGCUCUGGGGCACAGAAGUGAGCAAAUCAGAAGCCCACACAAUGGAACACUACACAACCAUGAAAAAGAAUAAAAUCUUGCCAUUAGAAACAACAUGGAUAGACCUAGAGGUUGUUAGGCUAAGUGAAGUAAGUCAGACAGAGAAGGAAAAAUACCCUAUGAUUCCACUUAUAUCUGGAAUCUAAAAAACAAAACAAGACAAAAAACAGAAAGAAGCUCAUAAAUACAGAGAACAAAUGGGGUCUGCCAGAGAAGAGAGGGUUAGGAAAUAGAUGAACUAGGUGAAGGAGAUUAAGAGGUGCGAACGUCCACUUAUAAGUAAGUCAGGGGAUGAAAAGUACAUAGCAUAGGGAAUAUCGUAGGGAAAAAAAUCCUGCAACUUUAAUGAAUUCAUUUAUCAGUGCUAAUAGUUUUUUGGUGGAAUCUUUAGGGUUUUCAAUAUGGAGUAUCGUGUCAUCUGCAAAGAGUGAAAGUUUUGCUCCUUCCUUGCUGAUGUGAAUGCCUUAAUUUCUCCAUCUUGUCUGACUGCCGUGGCUGGGAUUUCCACUACCACAUUGAAUAAAAGUGGUGAAAGUGGACAUCCCUGUCUCGUUCCUGAUCUCAGCAGAAAAGCUCUCAGCUUUUCACCACUGAGGAUGAUGUUAGCUGUGGGGUUGUCAUACAUGGCCUUUAUUAUAUUCCGUCUAUACUUUGUUGAGAGUAUUUAUUGUGAAUGGGUGUUGACUUUAAAGUUUUCGCUCUGUACCCAUGGAGUACGAUUUUAGUUGCAGAUUGUUCACAUAUGGGUCACGUUAAGAAAGUUUCCUUCUAUUCCCAGUUUAUUGAGUGUUUCCAUCAUGAAAGGGCAUUGAAUUUUCUUAAAUUCUUUUUCUGCAUCCAUUAAGAUGAUUAUAUGUUUUUUUCACCUGCAUUCUAUUAAUGUAUCAUAUUCCACUGAUUAAUCUUCAUACGUUGAACCAUUCUUGCAAUCCAGGAAUAAAUGCUUCUUGGAAAUGGUGUGUGAUCUUUCUAAUAUGGGGCUGAAUUCAGUGUGCUAGUAUUUUGUUGAGGAGUUUUGCAUCAAUAUUCAUAAGGGAUGGUGGUCUAUGGCUUUCUUGCAAUGUCUAUGUCUGGUUUGGGUAUCAUGGUAAUUUGAUAACUUAAUUUUUUUAAAUCCUUGCCUUUUAAAAUAAAUUCCAAGGAUGGGGUGAAUAUAACUUUCUACAUAAUUAAAUUUGGUAUAUUCUAGAACAGGUGCAGUUACCUGCCUAAAUGUACUUACUAAAAAAUAUUUCCCAUUCCUAGUUUUGUAACACCUGAGAAUAUCACUUCAAUUAUUUCGAGGGGUUUUAACAUAUCUUUCAAAAGUUUUCAAAACAAAGUUAUACUUAAUUCAGCUUAAUUAAAGAAGUCCUUUUUGGGGUGUAAUAUUGCAAAAAUUAUACGAUAAAGAUAGAUAUCAAAUUUCAAAUUUCCUUUUGAGAAAAUUGCUUCCCCUAAAACAUUUCCUUUCAUGGUUUUAAAGACACGUGUCAUACAUUUUGACACUUAAACCCAAAUCUGAAUAGUUUACUUCAACCAUUAUGCAGAACUAUUCCUUUUCUAAAAGGGUAAAUUGCUUCUAUUAUACAGUUGCAAAAUACCUAGGAAAAAAGUAAUUUGCACCUCCAUUCCUCUCUA